rnacentral:tRNA from 1 species
UGGCUCAGUUGGUAGAGCAUGACGCUUGUAAUGCCAGGGUCUUGGGUUCCAUUCCCAU